rnacentral:tRNA from 1 species
ACCUGGGUGCCUCAUUCGGUUAAGCAUCUGACUUUGGCUCAGGUCAUGAUCUCACAGUGUGUGGGUUCAAGUCCCACAUCAGGUU